CACGUAGGAGACAAGCGUUAUCCGGAUUUACUGGGCGUAAAGCGCGUGUAGGCGGUCGAAUAAGUUGGAUGUGAAAGCUCCCGGCUUAACUGGGAGAGGUCGUUCAAUACUGUUUGACUAGAGGAUGGAAGAGGAAGGUGGAAUUCCGGGUGUAGUGGUGAAAUGCGUAGAUAUCCGGAGGAACACCAGUGGCGAAAGCGACCUUCUGGUCCAUAACUGACGCUCAGACGCGAAAGCUAGGGUAGCAAACGGG
rnacentral:rRNA from 1 species